rnacentral:lncRNA from 13 species
AUGAUCCACAGAGCUGUAUCUUUUCCCAGGUCUGCAACAUCUGUGCAGUCUUGGCUGAGUGGAUUUAUUCAGCACUUUCAAGACUCGGUCGUUCUCUUGGCACUACUUUACAGUGUUCUGCUGAAACAUGACUACCUGGACCGUCAAGAAUGUAAUGUGUGCCACAUUAACCCUGUAGUCUACCUGCUCCGUCACACUCUUCACAUCAGCACACACAGCAACUUCACCUCUCUAUCGCCGACCAGGAGAAACUACACAGUCAAAAGAAUGACUGGCAGACACCGUUAAAUCAUUUACCGGUGCUCUUUGAAAAGACAAAUAGUAUCUGAGUGUUUUGCUAUUUACUGUAGUAGUGCAAAACAUUUCUGAACUCCAGUACUUUUAGGUGCCUCCAUGUUGAAUGUAAAUGGACAAAUCAGGGACAAUUGAAGUCACCAUAAUGUUAAGUUCAGUUUGCCAAGGCCUCUGUGGAGAUGGAAAACAUUUACAGCACCUUCAGAAAGUAUUCACACCCCUUGACUUUUCCACAUUUUGUUGUGUUACAGCCUGAAUUUAAAAUGGAUAACAUUCAGAUGUCGUGUCACUGGCAUCCAUACAAUACCCCAUAAUGUCAAAGUGGAAUAAUGCCUUGAGACAUUUUGACAAAUUAAUAGAGCCCCUUUGUUAUGGCAAGCCUAAGUAAGUUCAGAAGUAAAAAUGUACUUAACAAGUCACAUAAUAGUAACACACUGUAUGUGAAAAUAGUGUUUAGCAUGAUUUUUGAGUGACUAAUUCAUCUCUGUACCCCAAUUGUCUGUAAGGUUCCUCAGUCGAACAGUGAAUUUCAAACACAGAUUCAACCACAAAGAUCAGGAAGGUUUUCCAAUGCCUCGCAAAGAAGGGCACCUAUAAGUAGAUGGAUAAACAUUUAAAAAGCAGACACUGAAUAUCCCUUUGAGCAUGGUGAAGUUAUUAAUUACACUUUGGGUGGUGUAUCAACAAACAUAGUCACUACAAAAGAUACAGGCGUCCUUCCUUACCCAGUUGCCGGAUAGGAAGGAAACCGCUCAGGGAUUUCAUCAUGAGACCAAAGGUGACUUUAAAACAGUUACAGAGUUUAAUGUGUCUGAUAGGAGAAAACUGAGGAUGGAUCAACAACAUUGUAGUUACUCCACAAUGCUAACCUAAAUGACCACAAUACUAACCUAAAUGACCACAAUACUAACCUAAAUGACCACAAUACUAACCUAAAUAACAAAGUGAAAGAAAAGAAGGAAGCCUAUACAAAAUGAAUCCUGUUUGCAAUAAGGCACUAAAUUAAAGCUGCAAAAAAUGUGGCAAACAAAUUA